rnacentral:rRNA from 1 species
CCUACGGGAGGCUGCAGUCGAGAAUCUUCGGCAAUGGGCGAAAGCCUGACCGAGCGACGCCGCGUGUGGGAUGAAGGCCCUUGGGUUGUAAACCACUGUCAGAGGGGAUGUGUUAAAGCCAGAGGAAGCACGGGCUAAGUUCGUGCCAGCAGCCGCGGUAAGACGAACUGUGCAAACGUUAUUCGGAAUCACUGGGCUUAAAGGGUGCGUAGGCGGUCUUGUAAGUAGGGUGUGAAAGCCCCCGGCUCAACCGGGGAACUGCGUCCUAAACUGCGAGGCUUGAGUGAGGUAGGGGUGUGUGGAACUUCCAGUGGAGCGGUGAAAUGUGUUGAUAUUGGAAGGAACGCCGGUGGCGAAAGCGACACACUGGACCUUUCUGACGCUGAGGCACGAAAGCCAGGGGAGCAAACGGGAUUAGAUACCCUUGUAGUC